AGAACGAACGCUGGCGGCAGGCCUAAUACAUGCAAGUCGAACGCACUCUUCGGAGUGAGUGGCAGACGGGUGAGUAACGCGUGGGAACCUUCCCAAUGGUACGGAAUAACUCCGGGAAACCGGUGCUAAUACCGUAUAAGCCCCUCGGGGGAAAGAUUUAUCGCCAUUGGAUGGGCCCGCGUCGGAUUAGCUAGUUGGUAAGGUAAUGGCUUACCAAGGCUACGAUCCGUAGCUGGUCUGAGAGGAUGAUCAGCCACACUGGGACUGAGACACGGCCCAGACUCCUACGGGAGGCAGCAGUAGGGAAUCUUGGACAAUGGGCGAAAGCCUGAUCCAGCCAUGCGCGUGAGUGAAGAGGCCUUAGGGUUGUAAAGCUCUUUGGCGGGACGAUAAUGACGGUACCGCAGAAUAAGCCCGGCUAACUUCGUGCCAGCAGCCGC
rnacentral:rRNA from 1 species